GCCGCCAUCGUCUAGUGGUCUAGGACCCUGGAUUCUCAUUCCAGAAACACGGGUUCGACUCCCGUUGGCGGUACCA
rnacentral:tRNA from 2 species